rnacentral:rRNA from 1 species
CGUUCCCAUACCGAACACGGAAGUUAAGCUCUCUAGCGCCGAUGGUAGUUGGGACUUUGUCCCUGUGAGAGUAGGACGUUGCCAGGC